rnacentral:ribozyme from 12 species
UUUUUUAUUUUUUUAAUUUUCUUUUUUUUUUUUUGAAAAAAAACAAAAAAGUUAAAUAUCGU